rnacentral:misc_RNA from 1 species
UCGUGGGGCUCCGGCCCCGUCGAGAUAACACCCUUGCCUUUAUGAGUACCGCUCGUUUCCUCGGCAGGUCCGCCUGCCAAUGGGGACACAGUAACACCCUGAAGCACCUGUAACAGUCUGAUAAAACAAACAAAAAUCA